UAAACUAUUUUGUAUGAUAUGUCUAAUAAUAACCGAGAGUGAGUCACUCUCGGUUAUUAUUAGACAUAUCAUACAAAAUAGUUUA